UUAUCCGGAAUUAUUGGGUUUAAAGGGAGCGUAGGCGGACGUUUAAGUCAGUUGUGAAAGUUUGCGGCUCAACCGUAAAAUUGCAGUUGAUACUGGGUGUCUUGAGUACAGUAGAGGCAGGCGGAAUUCGUGGUGUAGCGGUGAAAUGCUUAGAUAUCACGAAGAACUCCGAUUGCGAAGGCAGCUUGCUGGACUGUAACUGACGCUGAUGCUCGAAAGUGUGGGUAUCAAACAGGAUUAGAUACCCUGGUAGUCCACACAGUAAACGAUGAAUACUCGCUGUUUGCGAUAUACAGUAAGCGGCCAAGCGAAAGCGUUAAGUAUUCCACCUGGGGAGUACGCCGGCAACGGUGAAACUCAAAGGAAUUGACGGGGGCCCGCACAAGCGGAGGAACAUGUGGUUUAAUUC
rnacentral:rRNA from 1 species